UAAAAAAGGCACAGAUGUGACCUAAAUCCUGAUCACUGUGCUGGGGGCUCUCCUUGUGAAGACCGCAUCUUAGGGGACAGCCAGCCAUCUCGUUCCCUGAGGAUGUGCUGCCGUGGAUGCUGCUGUGAGUAUCACUAUUGCCAUUGUUAUGGUAACCACUUACAAGCACCUGCUAUGUGCCAGGAAGAAGAGCUGGAAGGACUGACAGGCUCCGGUGGCCACCCUACAACCAGAAGACAGACACCUGACAAUGUAUUGUCAGAU